UAGAGACAGGUAGAGAGAGAGGGAUAGAUGGAGGGAGGGAGAGGUAGAGACAGGUAGAGAGAGAGGGAUAGAUGGAGGGAGAGGUAGAGACAGGUAGAGACAGGUAGAGAGAGAGGGAUAGAUGGAGGGAGGGGUAGAGAGAGAGGGAUAGAUGGAGGGUGAGGUAGAGACAGGUAGAGACAGGUAGAGAGAGAGGGAUAGAUGGAGGGAGGGGUAGAGACAGGUAGAGAGAAAGGGAUAGAUGGAGGCAGAGGUAGAGACAGGUAGAGAGAGAGGGAUAGAUGGAGGGAGAGGUAGAGACAGGUAGAGAGAGAGGGAUAGAUGGAGGCAGAGGUAGAGACAGGUAGAGAGAGAGGGAGUGGUAAAGAGAGAGUGAGGAGAGAGUAUAUCCAGUAUAUUGUAUAGGUGACUGUCUAG
ensembl:lncRNA